GCCCCUAUAGCUCAAUGGAUCGAGCGUGACCCUGCGAAGGUCAAAAUCCCUGUUCGAAUCAGGGUAGGGGCA
rnacentral:tRNA from 1 species